UACGUAGGGUGCAAGCGUUAAUCGGAAUUACUGGGCGUAAAGCGUGCGCAGGCGGUUAUGUAAGACAGUUGUGAAAUCCCCGGGCUCAACCUGGGAACUGCGUUUGUGACUGUAUGACUAGAGUACGGUAGAGAGGGGUGGAAUUCCUGGUGUAGCAGUGAAAUGCGUAGAUAUCAGGAGGAACAUCGAUGGCGAAGGCAGCCCCUUGGACCUGUACUGACGCUCAUGCACGAAAGCGUGGGGAGCAAACAGG
rnacentral:rRNA from 1 species